ensembl:ncRNA lncRNA:CR44854 long non-coding RNA:CR44854
AGUGCGCAAUCUUCGCUCGGCAGUGCCUCCAACCAACCAGGCGUUCUUGAUAGAUACAUCUAUUGGACAUUUAAAUGCUCCGCAGCUCGACUCCGUUGUCAGCUUCCAUCGGCCUUAUCACAUGCCAAAUACCAAGCGCCAGACUGCAGAAACAGUUGAUGCUCAUCGUGCAAUUUAUUGAGCACAUCAAUCAAUGUGGCAAUUCCAUUUGAGUACUACUCCGCCUGCUGUUGUGAUUCUCCGCAAAUAAUUGCACAUUGCAGAUGCCUGUCAAUGGGUGUGGUCAGGGCCAGAAGAAGACUCGCCGGCAAUCGUCACUCUAAAGAUGGGCGCAACAAAAACAGGUCAAUCAUCGAUCAUGGUCAUCGCCAUCAUCAGCAACGUUGCCGACGAGCCGCAUCCUCGUCGCCUCAUUAUUGAUGAGCCCGGAGCAGAUACAUUGGCCAGUGAUGCCAAAGACAUGCCAUAAAAAUAGUAAAGUCUUCAGAGAUCAAAAACGUUUAUAUUAUCCCCUCCGAAUAAACUUGAAAAAAAGUCCAGCUG